rnacentral:lncRNA from 1 species
ACACUCCCAGCUGUGCCUGGCUAUGACUAGUUGUGCAUUCUAGAGCUCUUUAGAGCUACUUCAGAGUUGCAGGAUAAAGAUUUCUAGGGAAGAGGGCAGGGCCAGGCGCCCGGAGGAUUUCCAGCCACGGGUAGUUUACCGAGAGAAAAAGCUGCGGGCGUCGCUCCCUCUUUUACAUAAGAAAGGCUAAGCUCUAAAAGGCAGACAACUUCUUCCUGGCCCUUCGGAGAAGCUAGCCCUUGGAACCUAGGCCCUGAGUCGUGAGGAAGAGGAAAGACUACAUGGGGUCACUAUGUAAGGUGUUCCUGGUGACAGCUCCUGCUGAGGACCCAGCUGACAGCAAGCACCAACCUCCAGACAAGGAGAAGAACAUAAUAUAGCGCUCAUCGUUUCAUUUCUCUACCCACGAUCUUGCAAUGUUUUUCCUCUGCCAACAAGGAAAGAAAAUGGAGCUAUUCCUUUACUGAGCACCUACUAUGUGUCUGAUAGGUGCUUUCCCGUAAGUUAUUCUUUUACUCUUUAAAGCAGGGGUGUGUAAUCUUUUGUCUUCCCUAGGCCAUAUUGGAAGAAGAAGAAUUGUCUUGGGCCACACAUAAAAUACACUAACACUAACGAUAGCUGAUGAGCUGAAAAAAAAUUGCAAAACAAAUCUCCUAAUGUUUU